CACGAGCGUUGUUUGCCUUGGUUAUGCAUUCAGUAGUUAUACUUAAUCUUUUUUUUCCUAAGACACGUAGUUUGCUGAUGGUGUGUUUUAAAGAGAAAUGUUUAAUAAGAGUAAUUUCGUUUUUUCUUAAAUGACGUCUAUAUUUUAUACAAAAGUGCACAUUAUAUUUUUCCAUAUAAUGUUAAUAAAAUAGUUAAAUAUUUUAAAACGCUUAAACAUUUUUGGUCGGCCUACACACGAAGAUAAUUUACACUUGGCGUUUUAAUACUUGGAAUGAUUAAGCAUGUUGUACCUGUAUAUUCUAGAAGACUUCCUAGUUGUUGGAUGUUGUCUAGAUAACAACCACGAGCUACUCGUUUCUCGUUCUGUAAUGGCCGAACAACUUCUUUUUGCUUUCAUACGCCUCUUGUCAGUGGCCACUAAAAACCGUUCUUUUCCGCUAUCAUUGUCACCGUCCAUUGAUAGCUUGGUGGAGCAGAAGUUGCAAUCCACCAGUUUAUGUUAACGCAUGAUUUUGAUGAUUCUCAUAGGGCCAAAUGAAAUUGGCUGGGCAAAACCAAGUCCCAACUGAAAACAGGCACGAUGUAAACAUAGGAGCCGUAUUUUGAACAAUAAAACGUAAUCAAUAAUUAUUUCACAAGUUCCACAGAAAGCAACCACUGAUUACAAUAUAUUCGUCAACAUUCUGUGCGUUCGAACCGAAUUAGUAUGAUUUAGCAUGUAACAGUUUAUUUUUAAAGAAAAAAAACACAUGGCUAUCAACGUAGGCCAUAGUUAGCAGUUAACUAUAACGCAGUAGUUGUAAUGGUCCGCACAACAUCAUUGUAUAUUGACUUCCUCCUUCAUAUUUAUAAGAAAAUUAAAACAAAAAAAAAAAAACACACGACUGGCAUAAACAUAAUCAAUAA